rnacentral:rRNA from 1 species
GCAGUAGCCGCGGGAAAACAGAGGGUGCGAGCGUUAAUCGGAUUUACUGGGCGUAAAGCGUGCGUAGGCGGCUUCUUAAGUCGGAUGUGAAAUCCCUGAGCUUAACUUAGGAAUUGCAUUCGAUACUGGGAAGCUAGAGUAUGGGAGAGGAUGGUAGAAUUCCAGGUGUAGCGGUGAAAUGCGUAGAGAUCUGGAGGAAUACCGAUGGCGAAGGCAGCCAUCUGGCCUAAUACUGACGCUGAGGUACGAAAGCAUGGGGAGCAAACAGGAUUAGAUACCCCCGUAGUCCCUGUCUCUUAUAC